rnacentral:rRNA from 1 species
GAUGAACGCUAGCGGCAGGCUUAAUACAUGCAAGUCGAGGGGUAGCAAGAUUGUAGCAAUACAAUUGUUGACGACCGGCAAACGGGUGCGGAACACGUACACAACCUUCCUACAAGUGGGGAAUAGCCCAGAGAAAUUUGGAUUAAUACCCCGUAACAUAGCGAUGUGGCAUCACAUUGCUAUUAUAGCUUCGGCGCUUGUUGAUGGGUGUGCGGCUGAUAGAUAGUUGGCGGGGUAACGGCCCACCAAGUCUACGAUCAGUAGCUGAUGUGAGAGCAUGAUCAGCCACACGGGCACUGAGACACGGGCCCGACUCCUACGGGAGGCAGCAGUAAGGAAUAUUGGACAAUGGACGCAAGUCUGAUCCAGCCAUGCCGCGUGAAGGAUUAAGGUCCCCUGGAUUGUAAACUUCUUUUAUAAGGGACGAAAAAAGGUCUUUCUAGAUCGUCUGACGGUACCUUAUGAAUAAGCACCGGCUAACUCCGUGCCAGCCGCCGCCGUAAUAC